GGGGAUACUUAUAUAAGACGAGAAGACCCUAUGGAGCUUCAAACCCAACUACACCCCUAACUCUAUAGCCCCUCAACCACACUGGCCCCUGUAUAGUUGAUUUUAGGUUGGGGCGACCACGGAGUAAAACAAAACCUCCAUAAUGAACGGGCCUACCCCCUUAUCUAAGAACCACACCCCCUAAGAAUUAGAAUACUAACAUAAAAUGAUCCAUUAUUUGAUUAAUGAACCAAGUUACCCUAGGGAUAACAGCGCAAUCCAUUUCGAGAGCCCAUAUCGACAAAUGGG
rnacentral:rRNA from 1 species